rnacentral:rRNA from 1 species
UGCCAGCCGCCGCGGUAACACGGGGGGCGCAAGCGUUAUUCGGAAUUAUUGGGCGUAAAGGGCGCGUAGGCGGUCUUGUCAGUCAGGUGUGAAAGCCCGGGGCUCAACCCCGGACGUGCAUUUGAAACAGCAAGACUUGAGUACGGGAGAGGAGAGAGGAAUUCCUGGUGUAGAGGUGAAAUGCGUAGAUAUCAGGAAGAACACCGGUGGCGAAGGCGACCUCCUGGAUUGAUUCUGACACUGAGGUGCGAAAGCGUGGGGAGCAAACAGGAUUAGAUA